AUCGGGUUGCAGCGGCGAAGUUCGCCCGUUGUAGUCGCGCCACACGUCGAUGCGCCCUGCGUGUCGAUGUGAGCUGAAGAUUGACAAUUUUGAGCCCGAUGAUAGGCAUUGAG
rnacentral:sRNA from 1 species